CGCGGCUAAACCAUGCACCGAAGCUGCGGCAGCGACACUAUGUGUUGUUGGGUAGGGGAGCGUUCUGUAAGCCUGCGAAGGUGUGCUGUGAGGCAUGCUGGAGGUAUCAGAAGUGCGAAUGCUGACAUAAGUAACGAUAAAGCGGGUGAAAAGCCCGCUCGCCGGAAGACCAAGGGUUCCUGUCCAACGUUAAUCGGGGCAGGGUGAGUCGACCCCUAAGGCGAGGCC
rnacentral:rRNA from 1 species